GCGCGCGGAUGUUUGCCGUGAAGCUGCCCUUAGCUCCGGCUUGUGUGUCCUGAGGGCUCCCCCGGCGCUGCCGGUUGUGUGUCUUCCAACCCCUCCCUUCCCUCUCCGGGUGGGAUUUGGGCCCUGGGCUCUAACCUGCUGACACUCUACAAGUGCAGCGACUGACAACGACACUGCCAUGCUUACUGGGAGCAAAACACCUUUUCUAGAAACAGGUUUUCAGCAAACACCUGUGUAGUUCUUCCUUUCCCGACUGUCGGCCAUUGGGAAGGAUCCUCCUGUGGUGUUUUCAAAUUUGGUGUUUUAAGAAAAUUGUAAACCAGACUGUAAGUUCCACUGAGUGAUGCUUCCUUGUCUGUCCUGUCCUCUCUCUCUCAUCAAAACCUGGGAAGAUGUCUGCUGCGUAAUAUGCAUUCAAUUCAUAGCCACUGAAAAAUGUCUGUAUCUGUAUGAGUUCAAAUGCAUUCAUGAGGAGGUAGUUUCCUCUGCAAUGGAGUUGAUCAUCUAGGAUAACACAUAUGAUUGAAGACAGACAAUCACUGCUUGAGGUUUAUUUUUUUAUAUGAAGAGACUGAAAUGCACAAUUCUUUCUCUCCUUACUAUCUGAAUUACUGACUCCAUUAAAUAAAACCAAACAAAAAGAAAAGAAAAGAAGAAGAAAAAAAAAAACAACUAAAACUAAAGCAAGCACAAAAUGGCAAUUUUGGAGCAUGUUUGCUGCCCACAUAUUGCAGUAAGGUGUGAAGUCUGAUGUCAUCUAUCAAUGGGAAAUACAAAUUCUAUACUGGCUGGCUAAAGACAGAAGGACACAGAAACUACCACCAGUAUUGCAUGAUAUGAUCCUAAUACAGUUUAAUUUUAGUAGUGGAUGAAUCAAGCCAGUUUUCUAAUCCACUAGCAGAUUUAAAGAGUUUAAGCUCUGUAUUUUAAAAAUUGUUUCACUUUUAUGCAAUGUUCCUUUUCCAUCAGUCAGUGGACAUGUAACUUAAAGAAUGAACAAGGAAGUCUGGUUAUACAUGAGAAAUGUCACAUCUCAGCAAAGAGAGGUACCACAGUUACCUUUAAACCUCCAUGUGGUUAUCACCCAUUGAUAUUUGUGUGAUAUGAUUAGUAUGGUGUGUCAACAUGAGAAUUUCCUUGAAGUGAGAAAGAAGAAAGUAGUAAAUAUUCUUGCUCUAUAAUGACCCGAUCCAGGAAUGCUUGUGAAAAUUAAUGCAAAGACCUACAAUGGGGUUGACCUCAAACCCUAAAAGAUGUGGCUGUAACCAGGGCAUCCUUUACAAUGUCGGGAAUAUUUCUAUGAACCCAGUGUACUGACUGAAAGAAUAAAGUGUCUAUGUUAUUAUCUAAAGGCAAAUCCCAAACUUAGAGUGUAAAUGAGGAAUAAACACUCACAGCUUUAAUUUAAUUCUCAGUUCCUAACUUCUUUUACCAGACAGACAGACACCUCAAGCAAUGGAAGUGAGCAGCAUCCCAUGGUCUUGGGCUAGGCUUAUAGAGAAGGAUGAUUUGGCAAAUAGCAUACAGCUUAUAACCCCUGAAGACAGUUCAAAUGAAACCUUAUUUAAAGGGGCCCAAGAGGAAAGGCAUAAUUUAUGGCCAGAAAAUAUGAUUAAAUUAGGGGGACAUGACUAGAAGAAGAAGGUCUAUAAAAGAGGGCAAAACAUGGAAAGUUUCUCCAAGGCUAUGACCAUUUUUACUAAACACAUGUAUUCUUACCAUGAAUGAAUGAAGACGGCCAGAUUAAAUAUUCCCAAGUGAGUCAAUUUAAGACCAAAAUUCCUCUUACUUAUAAGAGCUCCAAAAUAAAAGGACCUCCAAUCUCCAAGAGUAGGGAGCUAUUUCUACAGGGACAUUGACUCUGUCUGCUUUAUCUGUUACUGAAUCGCAAGAAGUAGGAGAGGGUCAUGUAUAGAAGGAACAAUUGUUAAACAUUUAUUUAAGGAAUAAGUGCUAAAUGAAUUAAAUAACUCACACAUUUUAUAACAUGAAAUAUCACAUCAUUAUUAAAAUAAAGUUCUUAAAGUAUAGAAAAGACUUCUGUGAUAACCAAUUUAAAAAGAAGGUUACUAAAUAAGUGUGAUAUAAAUCUCAUUUUAUGAAACAUUUUAUAGUGUGUGCACAGAAAAACAUCUCAACCAUAUUUCCCCUUAAUUUGGGGCAUAAAGAUUAUGAAGUAAAAGCAAAUAUUUGCUUUUUACAAAUUUAUAAAGAAUAUGCAUUUUGUUUAAGUAAAAAGGAGUUUAUCUUUAAAAAUACAAUAAAAGUGAAGACUAGUCAACAUAACUUUGAUUAUACCCACCUCAAGCUCAUGGGGCAUAUCAGAAGCUUCCAAAUUCAAACCUUUGGAAGUGAACAGGGUUUGGUGAAGGAAAAAUACACCUGAUAGGCAGAAUGAAACUACAUCUCUGAAGUACCCAUUGUGCGAGUAAAACGUCAAAAUCAAUGUGAAAUUGCACGGGUAACCAAAACAAGGAUUGAAUUGAUGUUCCUAAAUACGCUGAAGUGAAAAAAAGCCAGGAAGGAUCUAGGCCACCUUACACUAUUAAGUUGCAUCCUAUAAAUAACACAGUUUAGAAGACCCACAAAUGGAGAAUUACAGUAGUCUAGACUUAAAGUAUUAAAGGGGUUUACCAACACUGCCACAUUGUUCUUGCUGAGCUGGGGCUUUGCUUCUAGGAGGAAGAAAAGAUGCUCCAGUGACAGUUGCAGGAUGUUUACCCAUUGAUGAAUCAGAUGUCAACAUGACACAAAGGCACUUAAAACUUCGGGAUGCUUUUAAAAUCACAUUCCGUAAACGAGUUACCAGAGAAGCAGCCUCACUUGGCAAGCACUUCAAGCUGAGGAACUGAACUUUGAUGUGAUUUUGAUUCAGUUGCAUCAGAUUGUGUGACAGACUUCAGUGCUCACCCUGGAUAAAGUCCUCAUGGCUUCUUGUCUUCAUCAUUUAUCGGCGUAUGCUGCAGCGUGGAAUCAAUGCCUCCUGAGAACGGCUGCAGCUCUUUAUUUCAAAUCCCUCACAGCAUCUUCCUGUUCUACUUUACUUAUUUGGAUGCUUACCCUCUCAAUGGUGUGCAUUAAAAUAUACUUAAAUUGCAAAGCAUUAUGAAAUUGUUACUUCUUAUUGCACCACUGCAAGAUGCUUGAGAGCAGGGAAUAUAUCCUAUUCGUUUUUCUUGUCAGUGAUUAUCAACUGUCAUGCCAAUAUCAUUUUGUGAGUGGCUACACUAUGCAGAAAUUGUGCUAAGGACUCUGCAUGCAUCCUUUCUGCUGCUCAGAUUUUCCUGCAAGGUGUUGUUCCCAUUUUACAGACAAAAACUGAUCUGCAAAAAGUGUAAUUUAUUUGCAAAAUCAUAGAGCUGCUACAUGUAAUGAGUAUGUCAUACUGCAUCCUGCAGCUACAACUACUACUACUCAUAAGUAAAUGAUCAGUGAGUAAAAUGCUCCACAAUCCAUCUCUAAAGAUGUGAACAGAACUAUCUUUCAUUCUAUACCUAAAGGAAACAGGAUUCACUGGGAAUUGAAAUUGAUUGCAAUAAUGCGUUUCCCAUCUGAAAGCUCAAUAUAAAUUGCAUGGUUGUUUAAUUGCUAUUACUCUCACUCCAUAUCAAAAACAAAAUAAAACAAAAAAUACCCAAACAAUCUGCCCCCCUCCCCCAAUUUAGCAAAUGAUAUGUUGCUGAUUAAAUCUGGAAGAAAAUGAGUUCAAAUUAAUCAAACAAGGUUUUAUUGUAGAACUUGUUAGACCUUUUAAUAUGAUAAUAAUCAUUGCAAAAGUGCCAAGAAACGGCUACUACAUGAAUUAUUUCUCAAACUUAUUCCACCAAGGAAACCUUUCUUUGUGGCGUUUCUUACUAGGAAAGCUAGAGCACUCAGAAUUAUUCAUCCUGCUCAGUGUAUUUAUUGUUUACACACAAAUGUAUAAAGACCAACUACAUUAGAUCAGAAUUUAAUUUUGUGCAGUUAUAUUUCAGGGGAUGUAAUCUGGCUCUUGGUAGACUAAUAUUACGAGAACUUUUUAACUGAUGUAUUAUUGUCUUAAGAAGAAAAGAAACUAAACGUGAGAGAAAUUUUCUGCAUUAUUCUAUGUAAAUAAGGUACAUUUCAUGAAAGUCUAUGAAAAAUGUCUGCAUAAGAAAAAUGAAAGAGAAAUGGGUCAAAACAUCAAACCCACAUAUUCAAAAAGGAAGAAAUAUUUUACUGAUUAAAAAAACACUAAAUUAAACAGAGCAUCAAAUUAAAGAGAAAAAUAUGGUUAUAGCAUGGCAACAUUUUCCCACUUUUACACAUGUAUAUACAGAUACGACUGAAUAAUAGAGACGGAAAUUAAAUGAAAUUGCAUUAAAAUAUGUGUUUAUAUGCAUGAAGUAUAUGCAUUUAAAAUGGGUAUUCAAGAUUUUUUUGAUAUAAUUAUUCUGUAGUUUAUCUGGAAGACUAAACAAAUACAAGUUAGCAAGACAUUCUAAAGAAAAGAGAAAUAAAGAGGAGGGGCUCUAUUAUAUUAAACUUACUAUAAACCUACAAUAACAAGAGAGUAUGGUAACAGUGCAAAAACAAACAAACAAAUCAAAAACAAAUAAAAGGACAUCUUAUAGACCAGAAAGCCCUAUUCCAUUAAAAAAAAAAAAAAAAAUGAGUAUAGAACACAGGUGAGUAUCUAACAGUAGAUUAACUAUUUAGGGAAAAUAGAUCCUCAUCUAACACUAAAAACAAAUUUCUAAAUGGAUUAAAAAGCUUAAUUUUAUCAGCAUUAUUUUUUAA